rnacentral:rRNA from 1 species
UACGUAAGGUCCGAACGUUGUCCGGAUUUAUUGAGCGUAAAGCGAGCGCAGGUGGUUUAAUAAGUCUGAUGUAAAAGGCAGUGGCUCAACCAUUGUGUGCUUUGGAAACUGUACAACUUGAGUGCAGAAGGGGAGAGUGGAAUUCCAUGUGUAGCGGUGAAAUGCGUAGAUAUAUGGAGGAACACCGGUGGCGAAUGCGGCUCUCUAGUCUGUAACUGACGCUGAGGCUCGAAAGCGUGGGGAGCAAACAGG